AAAAAAAAUCUAUUUUAUAAGAAGUGAAGGAAAUCACCGCAAGUAAUACUUAUUGGAAGGACCAAAAUGCGAAAUAUCGAGAUUUGUUAUAUCAAACAUAUAUGAAAAGUUGAAAAGUAUGCUACAAUUUUCCUCUGUUCAGAACACUUUACGUUAUCCUAUAAAAAUAUUGUUAUCUUUACUCAUUUCUCUUUCUUGUCUUGCGUAAAGAAAGUAUUAUGUUUUUGCUAAGCUUCACAGCAGACAAACUCUUUCGAUUUCGAAACCAAUUCUCAAGUCGAUGAUAUGACAAAACAUAUUAGCUUAAAUUUACUAACUUACUGGCAGAUGAAAAGUGAAAAAAUGCUUGCACGACCGCAAGAGCUUAGAGCAUAUACUCAUACUGCUCUAAUUACGAUGUCACAUUUGUAAAGCCGGGACUUAAGCUUUGGAAAUUUGGCGAAGAAUAAUUUUAUAUUCUUAAUACAGUUAUAUAUCAAAAAUCAUUUUUUUUUUUUUUUUUUUUCUUUUUAUUGCAAUCAAUCGUUCAGGGAUCGCCCCGUAUUCGUGUAACUUCGGUGACAGUGGGGUAGAAAGAAGUGGGCAAAAGGGAACUGACCGCAGCCUAGUAGGUAUGUUCGUUAAUCGGUAAAUGUCAUGCCUAGCUAUAGCUACGAACAAAGCAAACUCGACUGCACUGUGAGUUGAACCAGCGAACACUGAUUUUCUGAUUUCGUUGUAGCGAUUCCUACCUAUUCGGCAACUCUUCCUACUCUUUCCGCUUAAAAUCACAAUUCAUGAUAAGAAAUUGCUAAACUUAAUAUACAUAAUUUUCUGGUUCGUAUCGACUUUGAAAUUCGUUGCGAUACGCCCCAAGCAGUCGAAAAACCGAAAUAGUUUCCAAGCAGGCAAAACGAUCAAUAGAUUAAGACUUUUUAAAAAUGUUAAAAGUGUCCAUAGUAGUGAUAGUAGAGAUGGCAGAUAGGUGCCCAGGCCAUUGUACGCUCAACUAAACGUGGAAGUUUUUUAGAUAACGACAUCUAAACAUAGUUGCGUGUAGGUGUUAAUAAUAUUUUCAACGUUAAUUUUUCAUUUUUUUUUUUUUUUUUUUCUCAAAGCUUAGAGGCUGGCUAUCCGCUAUACAGGCAACUGCGAUGAUGAUUAACAAGUAUUUCAGCCCCCUCUCCCGAAACGUAUACGAACAAUAGUGAUGAGGAAGGAUUAUAGGUAGAGAGCGAGGAAAAAAAGUGUUAUAUUUUUUUGUGCGAGCGAUUUGAAUGUGGAAAUUUGAUUCAGUUCUUAGUAAAAUUUACUUAAACACUCAAGGUAAAAAUGGACGAAUUCGGAUCGCAGAUAUGCUUACAAACAAUAACAAGCGUAAGUAAGAAAACUAUUUACGAUUUUAGAGAAAUUUUUAAUAUCCAAUAAAUCAAACAAAGUAAAGAUUGCCGCACAAGUACUCGUCAAAACCACAUUUAUCGUUGCUUAUUACUGUUAGGUAUUUUCAAAAAUUUGGAUCACCUUUUCAAAGUUCCUUGAAAAAGGCAUUUGUUACGUUUGCAUCAUUUACAACACAACAAUUUACAAUAUUUUCGGCAGUACGUUGAAAGACUUUAUAUUGGUUUGGCAUCGAUCCACCGCCUAACCCAUUUAUCGCACUUCUUCAACAUUGACGACCCGCCCGCUACUAUCUGAACAAGUAGUAAGGAAUUUAGAAAUUAAUAACAUUGAACGGAAAACCGUUAUUUUAUGCAGUGAUAGGUCGAAACCAUCGAAUUCAACCGUUUUGUACAGUGGCAUUUCCCAUUUCUUUAUCAUUUUGAGCUGUAGAAGUCGCUGAUCGAAAUUUUUGCAAACAGCUGAUAAUACGUCCGCCAUUUGUCGUGAAAAUUUUCAUUCGAAUUUUUAUCCAAUUUAUCUGUAAAUUAUUUAUUAAUUGGGUGACGAUUAUGCUAAUGGGCGAUAAAUCGAAAGUAAAUUCAAAUUGAGAUUUUGUCAUUAACAGUGGAUGCGCCAGCGAACCGAUCGGAACCUGAAUCCCAAUUGCACUGCACGUGAAGGUGAUGCUAACAAACAUUUAGAUCACAAAUUUUCGAAAAUAUAGU